rnacentral:rRNA from 1 species
AACGAACGCUGGCGGCAGGCCUAACACAUGCAAGUCGAGCGCGCCCUUCGGGUGAGCGGCGGACGGGUGAGUAACGCGUGGGAACGUACCCUUUGCUACGGAAUAGUCUCGGGAAACUGGGGGUAAUACCGUAUGAGCCCUUCGGGGGAAAGAUUUAUCGGCAAAGGAUCGGCCCGCGUUGGAUUAGGUAGUUGGUGGGGUAAUGGCCCACCAAGCCGACGAUCCAUAGCUGGUUUGAGAGGAUGAUCAGCCACACUGGGACUGAGACACGGCCCAGACUCCUACGGGAGGCAGCAGUGGGGAAUCUUAGACAAUGGGCGCAAGCCUGAUCUAGCCAUGCCGCGUGAGCGAUGAAGGCCUUAGGGUUGUAAAGCUCUUUCGUGGGGGGAAGAUAAUGACUGUACCCCAAGAAGAAGCCCCCGGCUAACUCCGUGCCAGCAGCCGCGGU